rnacentral:rRNA from 1 species
UACGUAGGGUGCGAGCGUUGUCCGGAAUUAUUGGGCGUAAAGAGCUCGUAGGUGGUUUGUCGCGUUGUUCGUGAAAACUCACAGCUUAACUGUGGGCGUGCGGGCGAUACGGGCAUCAUUGGAGUUCGGCAGGGGAGACUGGAAUUCCUGGUGUAGCGGUGAAAUGCGCAGAGAUCCGGAGGAACACCAGAGGCGAAGGCGGCCUACUGGGCUGCACCUGACGCUGAGCCGCGAAAGUCAGGGGAGCGAACGGG